GCCAGGUGAUGGCAGCCUUAGCUUUGGGGU
rnacentral:piRNA from 1 species